GUGCUUUAUGUCUGCCAUUUCAGCAAAUGCCAACAGCAAGCUUUUUUCAGAUUGUCAGGAAAACUAAGGAUUACUUCUUGUGGAGCUGUGAAAGUGCCUGGCAAACGGCAUCUGGGAAUUGGGAGCUCCUGGAGGUGCUGGGGUGAGUACACAGAGACAGCACAGUGUUUGUGGUGUUGCAGUGCAGUGACACUCUUCCUCUGUGGUGCACAGGCUGGGAUCCAGAGCUCUCAGCUGGAGCCAGGUUCUGUAGGAAGCCCAUUCCCAUCUUUCCAGGCUCUAGUGUCUAAUUUAGCUGUUGGUUCUGUGUCUUACUGUACAGGUAACAGGUGUAGUACCAGGAUUCAACUCAAUCUAUAAUAUCUUUUUAUGGUCUUUAUUCAAGGAUGAAACCCAAAGCUCAUGUGAUGUCAGAAGUAACAGGAUUACCUGGAUUUAUAUUGUUCAAUCCAAGGAGCAGCCUGUUCCUAAAGCAAGAGAGGAAGGAAGAGUUUGAGUCAAUGACAUUUCCCCUUACAAACCAGUUAAAGUCUGUAUAGUCUUUGAGGAGAUUAUGUAAAAUAUUAAAUGAUUCCUGAACUGAGUUGCACUUCAGUCCUUCAUGAAGAUUAUUAUGGAAUUUGCACUGGCAAGAAUUCCACCAGGAUAGAAUAGCACAUCCUGUAUUUAUAACUGGUGUGUUUUAUCAGAGCCAUUCCAGCCCCUGGACUGCCAGAGUCAGUGCACUCCCACUGACAGGUUUCACCUGUGGCAGGUAUGUGCUGGGGUUUUACUGCAUUAUGGUCCCUACCUCAUGGUAAAUCUACUGAGAUGUUUAUCUAAUUGAAUGUAUGAAAGGCCUUUCAUCACAGCUAAAUACUUCAUGGUCUUGCCAAUUAAAUGACAUCAAUCCUAUAGAUGGGAAACUGUGGGAAAUUGGAGGUCACCAUGGAAACCUUCACUGGAGCAGGAAAUGAAACUGCUGUGUUGAUGAAGUGAGUAAUCAGUUAUGUACAGCCUAAAAGCAGUGCAGUGCACCUACCCUGCCUCUCAUGGCUGUGUCAUGCUGGGCCUCUUCCCCACAGCCUGGCUGGGGCUCUCUUGACUUUAAAAAUGUUCUUUGUAUGGAACUGAGUGAGCCCUGCCUUUCUGAGCUCGGCUCACGGGGCUGUUUAAGGUUAACAUGGCAGCUGAAGCCCAGGCCAGUUCCUGUUUUGUUGUCAAUAUUGGGAAGAGGGAUUAGGACUAAUGCUUCUACUGUUACUCAGAAAUAUUAACAACCUAAGCUUAAAAUAAUCAAGUAACUGAAUGGCAUUUCUCCAAGAGGAAUAAAAGGAAUAAAGAUAAAUGGGGAUAUACAUAAUAUGUAUGAGUGUUUAUCAGUAGGAAUAGAAAAACCCAAGGCUUUAAUUCUUCCCCUGCUUUAUGCCUCUGGGCAGGAACACAAAGCUGGCCUGCUGCAUGUGCCUGGAGCCUUGUUUGCUACUCUGCUGUGGAGGCAGCUGUCUCUGACAUCUCAAAGCACAUGCAAUCAUUUCUUAAAGGGUUAAACAAAAUCCCUAAAGAAAGGCAGAUCAAGCCUUCACCUGCCUUUCAGUUUUAACUCUAUGUACUUCCACUUCUCAAAUUUCACUUUGUCCUACCAAAAAGAGACGCAUCCAUUUUCUCUAUAAACUCCUCCAUACUAUCAAACCAAUAAAAGAUCCCUUUUCUUUUCACAAAGUUAAAUGGUUUUACACAGCUUCUUAGAUAAUAAAAUUCUGGGAAUACUUCACACCUCAGAUCCUUCAAGCACUUCGACUGCUAACAUAAACAAAAACUAAAUGCAAGACUGAUGUUGUUCUAAACUGCAAAAUAUUUGAAGAUAAAACUCCCCUCAGCUGGCUGCUUUCCUCACUCCAGCCAUGUAUCCAUGCCAAGUGUAACUGUUGCCAUGGCUGCUUCGUCAACUCAUUAAAAAUAACAGUUCACUCCUCUCCAACUCCCCUCCCUUAAAGGAAAGGGAUGUGGGCUCCCUAAAUCAAACCCAGACAAGCCUGUGUGCCUUUACAGCACCACUUAAAAGGCACAUUAUUCAAGGAACUCCUGCCUGAAGAAUCUUAGUCCCUGAUCAUCACAGGGAAAGGCCCGAACCUGUUUGAGAGAAUUCUUGGUCUUUCAGAAGUGAAGCUUCUUCUGAAAUUCCAGGAUAGGGGUGGAUCCAGGGAGAUACUGUUACCAGCUUGUAUCUUGGUGAAUAACAAAUACAGCUACUUCUGAAGGACUGACAAACUUUUUUGGGGUAUAUCUAGUGUUAUGUGUAGAACCACCCUGGCAUAAAAAACCCUCGAAGCUAUGUUGAUACAGUCUCCUUUAAAUUACUGUUACACCCUGAUGCCUGCAAGUGUAGCUGUGCAGCUUUUCCCCUUCCUGUCACAGAGCACAGCUCCCAGCCCAGCUGCUGUUUCUGUUUUGCUUUCCCAGAUGCCAGUGUGUGGAGAUACAAUUGUCCCAUGCUAGAGCUGUGCCUACAGGAUCUUGCCCCCUGAACUGAGCCCGCCCCUGCCUGCUGGGCAAGAGCACUUGCUGUGUACUCUGGUUCUCUGGCCAACAGCACUGGAGAUAAAAGAGGAUGGGUGAUCAAUUUACAGGAGAUUUAUGCGAGGUAAGGGAAAAAGCCUCACCUUUGUGUGACACUUUGACCCAUUCUGCCACUAGACUCACACUCUUGUCCCUUCUCAUAUUCAUUCAAGUCAUUUGAUGUAGGCGAUGCACCAUGGCUAUUUAUCAGCUUCCAAGUAUGGACCUCCUCCCAAAUUUAGGGGAAUCCUUGUGCCAUCAGUGGUGCCCAAGCCCCUGCACACACCCCACACCAGGACAAGGCUGGAGCUGAGCAGCAUUUGAAGCAAACACUGCAGCAACCACAGUUGAUGAAUGGGAGUUUCUCAGGUACCUGUGAGCACAAGCCCAUCACCCUUCAUGCUGCUGUACCAGCUCCCUGGGAAUUCACUUUUGAGAAUAAGCAUGAAUUAGCAAGAGACUCCUUUUUAAUCAGUCUUUGCAGCUGCUUGCCUGGGUUGCAACAUAAGCCAUGAUAAUUCAUGGUUCAGAUGUGUUCUAAAUUUGUACAGUUCAGGAGUGCACUGAAAUGAUCAAAUUGUUUGGAUUUACACACUGCCCUGGGGAAAAAGGGGAAAAGCACUCCAAGUCCAAACAGCAUUCAGAGGGAAGCUUCCAUCUGCUAAAAGAGCAGGCCAGAUAAGCCACUCUUAAAAAAUUUUGUUCUGGGCCCACCCAGCCUCUACCUUUUCCCAUACACCAUAAGGCUUCUUCCUGCACUGUUCCCCAAGAAACAGAACUGCAUAGCAGUCAUGAAGGUGUUUUGACUUUUAGGACCUGAUCAGGUGAUUUGGAGCACCCCUCCCAGGGGAAGAGGAUGAAGUUGAGCCUGUGAAAGGUUCUUCUACAGGAGAGCUGGAGAGAGACUUCUGACAAAGGCAAGUAUUGACAGGACGAGGGGGAAUGGCUGCAAACAGAGUUGAGGUGAGGCAAAAGGAAGACAUUCUUUACUAUGAAGCUGGUGGACACUGAACAGGCUGCCCAGAGAACCUCUGGCUGCCCUAUACCUGUAACUGUUCAAGGCCAGGCUUAAUGAAACUUUGAGCAAGAUGGUCUCUUUGGGAGGUGUUCCUGCACAUCACAGGGAUGGAACUAGAUGAUUUUCCAGGAUUCAAUGAUCAGAACACAUUCCUGGAAUUCUCAGAUUUCGUACCUAAACACCACUGCAGCUUGGACAGAUGGUGACCUACUGCUAUGAUCAGUGACAAGGCAGCAGCUGUCCAACUGUGACACUCUCCAGGAGCAGGUGAGAAUUCACCAUGACAGGUCCUUCUCAAAAUCUGACCCACACCUGACAGGGUGAGGGUUCCUGAAUAGGAACUGCAACCUAAUUCAGAAUUUCAGAGGAUCGCCUGAGUUGCUAUUAACUGGUAGGAAAUAUGUGUGAUAUGCAGUUUCUCCCAAAGCUCCUGGCAGUAUAAUUAUACCCAACCCUUAACAAAAGUAUUAAAAGCCAUUAAGAUUUAUCAGUUACAGUGGUUUAAUUUUGACUGUGACUUUAGUAUGUAGAAUUAAGCACUCUGUUUACAUUUUAAGUACAAUGCCACUCAUAGUCAACAGGAACACAGAAGUGAGACCAACCAACAGCCAUCCCUGUUCCAGAUUAGCCACAAGUUUUGCACUUGAGCACUUAAAAACUUCAGCAGCAGAAAAGAUCAUGAAGAUGCUACCACCUCUCCUCAUCUACGGAGAGACCACUUUGAUGUGCACACUGCAGUAAGCACCAUUUUUACACCAGUUUGAAGAAUCCACAACUGUUCACAGUGCAUGAGGAUUUUUCCAAGUCAUGUGAUGGUAAUUCCACCUUUUUGUGGCAUUUUCUACUGUUUAUGUUCUAUUCUGCAUUUUUAGUUGUUCUUUCUAUAGUUUUCUCUACCAGAGUUCCUAACUGAGUGGUCAGUUAGAAAUAAGCCAAGCAGCAAAGCCCCCAUGCACAGGUACAUAAGGCUGCAGAGUAAGGACACGUCAGACUGGGCAAGAACACAAGGCUUGUAUUAGUUACUGUGUAAAGGAGCCCACAGCUGCCAGCUCAGCCUUCUUCAAAAUGCGGCAGAAAAGCUUAGCUGCAGAUUUGGGAUCUAUUCCCAAGUUUUUACUUGCACAUCCUUCUACCUUCUCCUCUCACCUCUGAUAUAACUUGAGUUGGAAACCACUCUUUCCUGCCUUGUGGUUCCUCCCCAUCUUCCCUCUGCAGUGCACAGGAGCGAAGUGCAUCACGUGCUCCACACACAGAUUACCAUAUCCACAGGAAGUAUUAUAGCACCAUACCCCACUAAACCAACCAGCAGUAACAGCAAAGUUCAAAGAGAAAAGGACAAACUUGGAAAAAUACAACACUGUUAGUGAAACAAUGGUAAAUUUCACUUCACAGCACCUUGUUACACUUAAAAACGCAAUUUUGGAACAGAAUUUUGAAUUAAUUAGAUUAAAUGAACCCCGUAACUGUACUUGUAUUUGUCCAACCUGUUAAAUGAGCACUGAACUGCAGAACCUUAGUGUCUAUAGCACACAUGCACCUGAGCCUGCACAUGGAGUGAGGAGGGAAGUCUGCACCCCUCCAGUUCUAGCAGUGACCAAGUCACUCCAUGGAUAGGGAAGAGUCACAAGUUUCAAAGGAACAUAGAUAGCAUUAAGUGUUCUGGGAAGCCCCAUGUCAGUGCACCCAGGAGGUGCAGCUCCAGCACACACAGCUCUCAACCUCAAGCCACUGAACUGCAUUUGAAGCAUUCCUACCUUAACUGGACCCCAUCCACACCAGUACCCCCUGCUCUCCCUUACACUGCUGAAUACACCCCAUUUCUGAAAUGAGGAAUGGUGCCAUGGAAUUCUGCCAGCAAUUCAAGUUCAAUACCCUUGAUAGCAUUUGGCUUGUAGAGCACAGUCCCUGCCUUUCCUGGGCUCCACACUACACAGAAGCUCCCAAGGCUGUAGCAGAAGCACAGCUCACACUCCAGAGGGCAGAGAUGUGACUGGAGUCAGGGAACCCUUCUAAGCAAACCAUGAUGUGCUUUUCCAGCUGUAGUGUUACAAGGUACUCCACUGCCAAUUCCAACUCCCCCCCUUCCUCAAAGCAAGACUAAUUAACACCUCCAGUCCUUUUCUUGGGCUCCACUUCUUCACCUCCUGUGAUGCUUAACAGUUUACAGGCUACAGCACUCACACCACUGGCAAACAAAGCUCCAGUCCAGGCAGGAGCCACUACCCUUUUGUCACUACAAAUACAUCACUUUUCAACAGGUUAAGUCUUAAGUAUCAAUAAGGACAAAAGAAAACUCACUGGGGACAAGGUUCUAGGAAGUAAGGUGUUUUGAGUAUUUAAUAGAUGACAUUUCAAGCCUGUACAAUGCAACAUCAUUCACCUCUUUUGUAGGGAUUUUUUUUGCCAAUUCAAUUUGAGAAACAGGCAGCUAACAGACAGUGCCACUUGAUUCAGAAACAUGCACGUGGCCUGGGGGGAAGCUCAAAGCAUUAACCAAGUCAAAAGCACAUACUCACUGAUAAAGCAUACAUUGGACCACAAGGCAAACCCCUACCAUUUCUUCAACAGAAUCCCAUCAUUCUCCUCCUGUCACAACACAACUGUAGUGUCUCAUCUUGUCUGUGACCUUAUUUAGAAUUCAUCUGCAUAUCCAGACAAGGAGUGUAAAAGUAAUUUCAGGAUGGUUGCAACCUAAGGUAACUCCCACU